CUGGCGCAUAUUUGGGAACUGGCUGUAAUCAAAACCUGUCAGAGAACGUGCAUUAGUGAGGUCAAGUACCUCAAGCCUUGCAAGUCCUUCCAUUUCUGGGAGAUGCUCUAAGAAUUUGCAUUCCCUUAAAAUGAUAGUGUGAAGGUUAGGAAGGUGGGAGAGUGAUGGUAAAGACCGAACUUCGGUAUCUGAGAGGUUUAGGCAACGAAGGCACCCCAAAUGUUGAAAGGAUUGAUCUUCAAUUUCAACUACAUUAGAGGAACCAGAAACAUCAAGAAAUUCAAGGUCUCUACAAGCUUCUGUACUUGGCAGCUUUGUCAGUCUAGUACAAUUUCUUAGCAAAAUAUGAGAAAUGUUGCAAGUGAUAGAAGGGUAGGCAUACAAGUCAGUUUUAGAUAAAUCAAGAACUUUAAGACUAGGUGAAAUGUCAUCAUAGAUCUCUUUUAAACAAAUAGCACCAGAAAGAUCAAGAACUUGGAGAUUAGAAAGCCCUUUUAUCCUUGAAAGUCUAGUUAAGGAUUUACAAUUUCUCAAGACAAGCUGUGUUAGCUCUUCGAGACCAGAUAGAAUUGGUAGGCGAUCAAUCUGCGAAUGAGAAACAUCAAGGAUCUUGAGUUUUGGUAACUGAUAAAAGGUUUUAUCAUAGAAUUUUUCAAAACAUGAAGCACCAUUAAGGUCAAUGACCUCAAGCUUUUUCAAGGCACUUAGUCGUGGAAGCAUUUUCAGGUGGCGACAUCCUCUCAAGAUAAGCCAGCGUAAUUCAGUUAAGUUGGAAAUAGAAAUAGGUAACCUUUCAACCCGUGCUCCACAGAAGUUGAGACUUUGGAGUUGAAGCAUAUGCUGCAAAAAAUCAUCUGGAAUUGUUGUCAAUGAUAUAGCACCAGAUAUCUCGAGAGUAACUAAUGAUUUGAGUCCUUGUAUCUGAUUAAUAUUCUCCAGAAACUCACAGCCCCGUAAGAUAAGCAUUGUAAGCUCUUGCAUGUGUGAAAAGGAUGCUGGCAGAGAUUUGAGCAUGGGAUUGAAGAUGCCAAGAACACUGAGACCAUUCAGGCGAUGAAAGAAUGCAUCCGGGUCUUCCUUGCCUAGACAAUUACCGUCAAGCAAUAAUGUUGAGAUUUUCUCUGAUUUGCUGCUAUAUCCAACCGUUCUUAUUACACCAUCAAUUACUGCAAUGUCCCCAAAUCCUUCCCACAUUUUGUCCUCCAAAGCAGGAAUCAUAGAGCAGAUCUCUGUAUCUAUAAAUCUUUGGAAAUCCGUACCUGAAUAAUGUCCUCCAUCUCUGUUCUUUUCGUAAAUCAGAUAAUCUUCUAAACCUCGUAUCCACCAACAAGGCAGUUUCAUUGCACAUCCCACCAUUACAACACAGUUGGACUCCACAUGCCUGAGAAGGCCUAGAUUUAUAAGGUCCACGAGAACCGAGUAACCCUUCUUAAAAGCAUCCUCAAUACAAUCAAUAGGACCAAGACAACCUUCCAUAAUCCAGUGGGCUAUCAAUUGAGUGAAAUUAACAGGACCAUUCAUGUGAAUGUACUGCCAGCUGUGCCAGAAACAAUGAAUUAGAUCAUUGGUUGGCAUAACUGCAUGUGCAAUUUGGAGAAAACAAAGGAAUAAUGCUAGAGGCAUCAGUAAUUGUUGGGACUGCUCCAAACUUUUCUCUCGAAGCCCGAUGUUUAUAUUCCAUAAUAUAAUUUAAUGCUUCUGCCAUAGCCUCAAUCUUAGCAGGAUUACCCUCACUUUCUUCAUGGAUACCUCUAAAUAGCAGUUUAAAAUCUGGAUCUCUAACCUUUUCUUGCAAAAGAUUGAUGGUCUCUGUAGCAGACAAGGGUUCAAUCUCCAACACCUUCGCGUAAGGACCAUCAUUAGGUUUUCCAGAGUAAUCUAUGGUAGUCACCAAGACUUUAAAUGAAGGCUGCUUAAAAUCAGGAACCAAGGAUUCAAAUUCUGAUACAGUUUCAUAUGCUUCCACUCCCUUACAAAAUCCAUCCAAGAUUAGAAGACACCUCUUCUUACCAGUAGCUGCUGAUAUUUUCUGUUUCAGAUUAGCUUCCGCCUGCAUCUCCUCGUACUCAUCGUCAUCACCAUCGUCAUCCGCAUCCCACUCCUCAGUUGGAAGACAUAUAGGCAACUGAGCAGCAAUCCUCUCAAGCGGAGAUUCCUUGUCAUGUUUUCUGCUCAUAGACAGCCAAAAACAUAAAUCAAACUGACUUUCUUGCUUUACAAUAUCAUGAACCUUUUUCGCCGUCCAUGUUUUCCCUAUUCCUGGUUUCCCAACAAGACAUACUACUUUAACAUGGUCAUCGCACAGCUCUUUCAGUAUGAAUCGUACGCGCAAAUCCAGUGUGUCCCCGUUAUCCAUGGCCGAUCCUGUUGCAAAAUGUUCGUAUGAGGAAGUAUCUUCCUGUUAGGCACCAGUAAAUAAGAAACAAGCAAUCACAGAGUCAAGAUAUACGACGAUAAGGUGAUUGAAGUUACAGCUUGAGAUUAUAGGAGUUACGGUAAGAAUGGUGGAAGAGAAUGUUCCUUAAGAUAACUAAGAGCAAAGUUAGUUUCUAUAUGCAAAAACAAUUCAGAUCUAAAGCUGUCCAAGAUAAAUAAGAGAAAAUUUCAAGUGUGGUGAAUAAUCAUGAAGAAGAGUGAAGAAAAAAAAAAAAAAAAAAAAAAACCUGCAGAUUUCGAUUGGCUACUCCGACAGAAGCAAUAUCAGCUAGCAGGAGCUUCUUCUGGGCGAAGAUAAAAUUAUGUGUACUCCGACAAGACAAAGUGGAUUAGAUCACACCCAAUAAACUAUAUAUAUGGAAUUAAAUAUAAUUUAAUCUGAAGUUUUAUGUAAAGCCAACUCAAUUUUAAAAUGUUAUAAAUAAUUAAUUAUUAUAAGCAUUUUCACUUUUAUUUUAUUUUAUUAUUAUUAUUUUAAUUAUAAAUAAUUAUUAUAUCUAUUUAGAUUAAAAUAUACGAGUAACAAAAGCCGGUUAAAAUUUUUUUAACCCAGAAUGAAAUUAAUUUUUUUUUUAUUAAAUUAAAUACAACCAACUAAAACUAAAAUUUUAUUGUAAAAUAUAUAUUAUCGUAUCAAUUUUAUUUUAAAACCAUAAGGAUUAAAUAUAUAAAAAUUUCUAAAAUAUAUAUUAUCCAAAGAGCAUGUUAUCCUUCAUAGGUUGCUGAAUCAUGUCUUAAACAGUAUAUGAUUCUGUCUACAAGAUGGUUGCCCAAAAUCAGAAAGUGCUUCUUUUGCUGCAAAGAACUGGGCAUGAUUAGGACUCACGAACACUGCAAUCUUUAAAGAAAAACUCGUAAUAUUAUAUGUUCAAUCCCUCAGGGUUCCACCAACUCCUGAUUUCGCCAACAAAGAGGAGCCAUCGACAUCGAACACCCACAGACGAACAAGAGAAGGAAUCCAUGCGUCGGCUCUUUUGCUCGAAACACAGCCCAACUCUGGAAUUAGAUGAGCAGAUGUUACUUACUGAAAAUAUCUUUAAAGACUAAAUUUUGAUUGACAUAAUUACAACAGCACAAACAAAAGCAUGAUAAAAGCAGAUUACUACGAAGCCUACAUAACCCACAAUUACACUUAUUAGCGACGCGUCAAGCCUUCACUCCAUAUAUGUAUCCUCAAUAGCAGAUUAUGCAGCAAAUUUAAUACCAAAUACAGCAGCAUUUGCACCAGACUAUAUAAUCAUCUCAUCUUUUAUGUAAAAAAGCUUGAGCUUAAAUCAAACAAGCAAUUUUCACUUGAAAUCUUAUCAACAUGUUACUCAAUCUUACAUCCACUGCGAAGAUCAUAAAAACCAAAUCCACAACAGCCACAAACACAAACUCUGACCUACCAGCAACUUUACCAUCAGAGAAAACCAAUGAAAAAAUUACAUUUCAACAGCCAAUCUGCUUCUUCCUUCAUCCUCCAAGGAUUUUUUGUACACGCUGAAAAUUCACAAUUUCCUCAUAUCCCAGACAAACUCAAAAAAAAUUAAAGCUUCAAGAUGAAACAGACUUGAGUCCCCAACACAUAACAGCAGCAACCACCUGUUAGCUAGCUAGCCGAAUUCUUCCAACCUUUAAACUGCAGGAUAACCACCCAACGCCUCAUAAAAAUCACUUUCACAAUUCAGCAAACCAGAGCAUAUUCUUCAUGAAGUAGCAACGUGAUGACAAAACCAGCACCAAAAACAAGAAAAUAGACAGCUCCAAAGCAGUAGAAACGAUAGGUCCGCUUCUCAUCAUUUAAAAAAAAAAAACAAAGCGUCAUAGUACCUGUAGAACGAAACAAGUUAACUGGGUGCAGACAAAUUACCUGCAAAAACUUACACGUCAUAAGACCAACAACGUCAUUGAGCAUUUAAAUUUAAAUGUUAUAUAAAAAAACUAUUUUAGAUUUUCAUUUCAGAGAGAGAAAGUUUACAGAAUGUUGUACUUAAAGACUCAAAAGUCAUCUAUUACGAAAUUGUUUUUGGGUAUCAUAAAAAAUUAGAUUGGGUAUUUAACUACCACAAGUUCUCUUAAUAGAAGUUUCAAAGAGCAGCAGCCUGAAAACUUGCAGCUAUUGGAGUGAUGCUGAAAUUUACCCUGUUAAAGGACUAUUCUUUUUAAUGCUGAAAUUUACCUUGUUAAAGGAUUGCCUUUUUAAAUGUUGAAACUUUGUCGGGAAAAAUUAAUCUCUAAAACAUGCACAAUCACGUUAAAAUAGAAGUAGAAAGAAAAAGGACACAAGGUUUUACGUGAUUUGGCAGUGUGCCUACAUCUACGGGUAAAACCGACAAGAAAGUAUUUUAUUAUGUAAUCUCAAAGUACAUCACCAAUAAAUUAACAAACUUAUUUCUAAAGAAACUAAUAAAUUUUUUUACAAACAAAAAUUAUUUAAAAUAUAUUACCCGAAUUUUUUUAUUCAUUUCGUCUCUUCAACAUAGGACAAUCUCUCCUAAAGUGACUAUUCUCCUCACAAUCAAAAUAGUUUUCCUUUUUACCUCUAAAUUUUGAUUUGCUCAUUCUCUAUGCUCUUUCCCUGCUUACCAAACCUUCCCCUUUUGUUAUAUACUUUAUAAAAUUCUUUUGCAACUCUUUUGACUUUAGUGCAUUGCUAACAUCAUUUAGUAAAAUACUAAGUUUUCUAUUUAGUAAAGCAUCAACAAAAGUUUUAUAAGAGUAUGGUAAUGAACACAGAAUAAUUAAUGUUUGAUUCUCAUUUUCAAUCUUAAUACCUAUGUUAUUAAGUUCUUAAUUAAAGAAUUAAACUCAUCAAAAUGUUAUUUAAUGGGCGUACCUUCACUCAUUCUUAGAUUGUACAACCUUAUCUUCAAAUAAAGACGAUUCGUCAGUGAUUUUAUAGAGUACAACCCUUCCAGUUUCUUCCACGCAGUUGAAGCCGAAUGCUCUUCAAUAACUUCUCGUAGAACAUUGUCAUUCAUGCUCAUAAAAAUUGCACAUACGGCUCUAUCCUGCAUAUUUAUCUUUUCCGAGUCUCUCAUACUCUCAGGAUAUCUUUCUUCAAUUGCCCCCCAUAUAUCUUGUAAAACCAGAUACGAUCUUUUUUUAAUCUUCAGCAGAAUAAAACUCAUACCACCAUCAAACUUCUCUAUCUUUUACUUUGUGGAUGUCAUCUUGAAUCCCUAUACUGUGCACCAAAAACCAAACUGAGAGAAAUAACACUAUUAGAAAACAAAAAACCACUCAUAUGGAGUCACUACUGCACAGAAAACCAUCACACGUAACCACUGGAGCUCCGACACGAGCCGUUGCGUGCCGUUACACGCCGCCAUGCGCUCCUCCACACGUCAUCACACACGAAGCCCCCGGGGAUAUCACGCACCGCCGCUGUUUGCCGCUCAUCGCAGCCGAAAAUGACUAAAAAACCAUAGAAAAUGCGAACGAUUCCAAACCCAACACUGAUCUGGUGAGAUCGCAUCGAGGGACACCGGAAAUCACCGUCACGCAAGACAGGCCGUCGCGCAUCUUGUUCUUCUCCAACGAUCUUCUGUCGCUCCAUCUCUCUCCAGAUCUUCUAAUUUCAUGCACAGACGAGACCAAAUGUUGCCGAUCCACCUUCGGUUUCUCUUCUCCGACCCUCCUCACGCGAAGUUGAUUUUUUCUUCUGGUGGCCGUGGAUCGGUUGUCUUCUCCGAGCCAUGCGGUUCCUCUUCUCGAUAUGAAUGUUCUGCUCUGGCCACGCUGAAGAAAUCGUCCUGCACCAUGAUAGAAAUCGAGCUUCUUCCGCCGCCGGCAUGCAAGAAACACACAGAUCGGAUUUGAUAUGGUCGCACUUCGUCUUCUUCGUCGGAAACCCGCCAGAGACUGUUUGGUUGUACAAGUCCGGCCGAAUAGGUUCUUCACAGAUCUGAUUGUGACUUUUCAACUUCUUCUAACUUUCUCUCACUAAUCCGUGUUCAAACUCGAGCUCUUAUACCACUUGUUGGAGAAAAUUAUUUCCUAAAGCAAGUACAAUCACAAUAAAAUAAAAGUAAAAAGAAAAAGGACACAAGAUUUUACCUGAUUUGACAAUGUGCUUAAAUCUAGGGACAAGAUUGGUAAAAAAGUAUUUUAUUAUGUAAUCUAUAUCACCAAUAAGUUAGCAAAUCUAUUUAUAAAGAAUAUAGCAAAAUUUUUCACAAACAAAAACUCUUUAAAAUAUACAUCAAAUAUUUCUCAUAAUAAAUAUAAAGAAAAUCCAAAUGAAUUAUUCCGCAAAAUAUAAAUAAAUAUCACCAAAAUUCAAGACACAUCAACAAACUUAUUAAUAGAUCCUCUCAAACAGUGAAAUUAUACAAAUGAUGUGAAAGGCAAGGAAGAAAAACACUGUUUCACAGUACUAUCAUCUUCAAUAGUAACAUAAAAAAAUGCACACCAAACACAAACACAUACAAGAGGGCAAUUCAUCAAAGAAGGAACAAUAUUCAGCUUCCUUGAUACAACAAGACAAGAAUUGCAUGCCGGAGAUUGUAUGGGGCAGAAGAAAUGGCGGAAAAAUAGUAGAAAAAGAGAGAUUGAACAAUAAAUUUCAAGUAGAAAUUACUUGAUGCAUGGAUCAUUCUUCUAAAUAUAUUCCAACUUUGAUGCAAGAGAUAUCAAGUAGAAAUUACAAUUGUUAACAAGUAUAGUUGAUAAGUAUGCUUAUAAAUUGCUAAAAGUAAUAGCAUGCUCUGCUGCCAUUAGAUUUUAAUAUAAAAAAGAAAAUAACAAACCCAGGGCAUUAAUUAAAUACAUACAAUGACAUAAAACUGCAAUCAUAACAAACCUGGAGUUAUUUUUCAAAGUUCUGGAAGCCUUCAUUCAUGUGUAAUUUCAUUUGCUCAGUAAUUUCAUUUGUUCACUUCUGAGAGGCCAUGUGUUUUCUACGGGGAGGGAGCUUUGGCAACCCAAGACAUGCCUGACUGUCAUCAGAUUGUUCCUCAACUCCAGAACUCUUGGUCAUAAUCCAGUUUUGUAUUGACCGAACAAAAAGAAAGAAGCACGUAAAAAAUUCAUCAAGUUUUGGGCAUUCUCCCCCUGUUAAUCUUUCAAGAGAAGGCAAUGCAGCUCCGAUGCUUUUCAACUCCGGCAGCUCAAACAAAUGCAGAGUCCUUAGAUAUUUCAUUGCAGGCACGGUUGUUCCAUCAAACUCAAAAACACGUUUGAGAUUAUCACAAAACCUAAUCUCAAGAGUCUGAAGAUUCAUUGGUUGUCGGGACAAGGAGAAAACAAUUUCCAGUAGUGGACAACAUUCUAGAUACAGAUGCUUAAGAUUACUGAAUCUCUCAAUUUGCAAAUUCUUGUUGAAUAUACUCUUCAAAUUAGGGAGGUUAAGAAUCUGCAGAAUCUCAAGUUUGUUUGACACUCCAAUGGCUUCCUCUUCUCUACUGAAAACACUCUCCACGUUGCUGCAUCUCUCCAUGCAACAGCCUCUCAUUGCGCUGAUAUUGUUUGCACCUAAUUCAGAUAACCAACUGAUAUUUGCAUUAUCUCGCAAACAUAUAUAUUGAGCACGCCUGAGAACACCCUCCAGACCGAGGAAAGGACUGCAAGACCGAAUUUUCCAAAGACUGCCUGUGGAUUUCCGAGUAACUAGGAAAACAUCUGGUCCUUGUGUAAAUAUCACUAAAUUUGGCUUCAUCUCUGUGGCUAAAGAAAUCUCCAUCUUCACCAUGCUUUAUUGGAGGUAAAACAGAAAAAUGAAAUUGCUUGAUGUAUGCAUCCCAUAACAUUGGGAUUGUUGUCCAACAUUUUGAAAAACUUCCUGCCACGAACCAUUAUGUGGAGAUUAUUUGCACUCAAUGGAAAUAUUUUUGCCGCCCCAAAGAUGCCACAAUCAACCCAAUUUAGUUCCUCUGGUAGGCGCUUUAUCCUCCUCCAAUUAAUUUCUUCAGUAUCCUUCAGGAGGGGGAGAUAAAGUUGUUUAAGGCAAGGCAACUCUGAGAUCUCAUAUGGAAAUUCUUUUAUCCCAGUACCCCUUAGAUCAAGAACCUCCAAGUGACUAAGUGAUUCCAAAUGCUGCAGCUUCUUCAGGCACCAACAAUCUCUUAGCAAUAGCCUGCAGAGGUUGCAAAAGAAGUUCAAGGAAGGAAGGUGUUUGACUGGUGUUUCUGAAAGAUCAAGAACUUCAAGCCUCGUAAGCUUUUCCAAGCCUGACAUGUCUUCCAUGCGUGACCACCCUCUCAAUGACAACUGGGUUAAGUUACUUAGGAAGAAGAUAUCUAUGUAAAUAGGAGUUUUAGACAGGUUGAGAAUCCGAAGGUUCCUCAUAUAAUUAAGUAAAUCACUCAUCGAAUGAAGUCCUCCAGGAGGAUGUCUUAGAUUAGAAAUAUUGAGCUCCUCAAGAUUUGAUAGAGACCCUAUAAUGGGAAAGUAAACAUCCCGAAUUCCACAAAGUCUGAGUAUCCGAAGUUGAGACAAACCCAAAAGAGUAUUGGAAUACUCACCAUGUAAUGACAACUCAGUGCAACCAGAAAGAUCAAUCGCUUCCAGAUUUUUGGGGACAGCUGGCAACCGGCUAAGGGAGGAACAACCACGUAGGAUAAGUCUGCGCAUGUUGGGGAACUGCCUAAAGUCAAAACCUGUCAGAGAACGUGCAUUAGUGAGGUCAAGUACCUCGAGCCUUGCAAGCCCUUCCAUUAUUGGCAGAUGUUCUAAGAAUUUGCAAUCCCUUAAAAUGAUAGUGUGAAGGUUAGGAAGGUGGGAGAGUGAUGGUAAAGACCGAACUUUGGUAUUUGAGAGGUUUAGGCAACGAAGGCACCACAAAUGUCGAAAGGAUUGAUCUUCAAUUUCAACUACAUUAAAGGAACCAGAGAAAUCAAGUAAUUCAAGGUCUUUACAAGCUUUUGUACUUGGCAGCUUUGUCAGUGCAGUACAAUUUCUUACCACAAUAUGAGAAAGGUUGCGAGUGAUAGAAGGUAAGACACGCAAAUCAGUUUCAGAUAAAUCAAGAACUUUGAGACUAGGUGAAAUGUCAUCAUAGAUCUCCCUUAAACGGACAGCACCAGAAAGAUCAAGAACUUGGAGAUUAGAAAGCCCUUCUAGCCUUGGAAGUCUAGUUAAGGAUUUACAAUUUCUCAAUACAAGUUGUGUUAGCUCUGCGAGGCCAGAU
rnacentral:lncRNA from 1 species